GCCGGGUUAUAGUUGGGGGAAUUGAGGACCGGGGGGAACUGAAUGUGGGUUUUGAACGCUUCUGCAAGGCCCUUUCCACCCCACUUCACAGAAAGUAGGGAAGUGAGCAAAUCUCUCAUUUUCCCUGACUUCAGAAAGCCUGCUUGCUGCUCCUGGAGUCAGCACCUGCUCCUCCCUUGUCCACUCUAUCCCCCAAUGAAGGCACUAUUUGGGAGUGGCACUACAGCCCCAAGAUGGAGGCAUGGAGGGCAGCAGAAGCCGAGCCACAGUCCUUGUGCACCCCCUGGACUUCCCCAAGGAGGGCAUGUGGAAGAGAAAGUCUGCCUUUCUCUGGGAGUAUGGGUCAUUGUCUUCUAGGUUCCUCUCCCCCUUAACAUGGAGGAAAAACUCCAAAAUAAGCUUGCGUGUGCUCCACUCCCUCAGUCCUUCUCUCAUGAUUCAAUAAAAUUAUCAUCACUGAGGG
rnacentral:lncRNA from 1 species